rnacentral:lncRNA from 1 species
UGGGGAAGAGGUCAUGUUUGUGUUUUUUUCUGCAGGAUGCUGAAGGAGCAUGCUAGCUGCCAGAGUGGUUAAUGAGGCAUGCUGAUGCUGGGACAAAGAAUGAGGCUGAUCGUGAGCUUGCAUAUUUCCCUGACAAUGAUGGUAGGGAAGCUGUAUAGGGGCGAUGUCCCUGGUCUCCCCCCUCCCCAUUUUACAUCCAACGAUAUGGGAAGGGCCAGAAGUUGUGGUAAUGAUAAACAACACUAAGUUGAUGGAUAUGGCUGCUGGAGGAAAUUUCACUAUCAGUAGAGAAAUUAAUGACCAAGGAUUGGGAGCUGGUGUCUCCACAGGCUUUUCAAAGCAGAACUCUACUGGAGGUCCGAGAGUAUCUCCUACUGCAUUGCAGGGCAAAGAUCUUGACUCAUGCAAAGGCUGUACUGUAGCAUUUUCCUCACUGUGGGAUGAGGGAGUGCACAAAUGUCACAAUUCCCUGGAAAACAUGUGUGGGAAUAAGCCUGUGCUUUAUCAGCCUCAUGGGACUCACCUCAAGAUUUUGGUCUACAUUUGGUUGGAAUAUAGAGGAGUGGCUAGUAUGACUAAUUAUGCUACUGUCUUUCCUUCUCCACCUAUCCUCCCCUCAUCAGCGUUGUCUGCUGGACUCUGGUAGACUCACACAGGUUAUUAGCAACAACAUGUAUGGAAGUUGGGUGCUGCCGUAGAUGAUCUGAGUGGUCAGCCUGAAAGAGCAAGUCCAGCUUGGAUGAAAGGGCCUAUUGCAGCAUUUGUUUGCAUGCCUCCUGUCCUAUCAGUAGGAAAUAUUAGCAUUAGUCUACAUUCUGAGAAUAAUACUUUUGAUGUGUCUGGUGUUGGCUGUAAUUUGACUAAUUAUGUUUUAAAAGCCUGUUCUAAGCGUUCUGUAAUGAUUUUACAUCAACCUGCUUUUGUGAUGGUUCCUGUAAAUAUUACUGAAGAUUGGUUUGAUGACAAGGGUUUAUAGGUAAUUGAGGAGUUAACAAAGGCGUUGGCCAGGCCUAAAUGCAUGAUUGGUUAAUUAUAGGAGGUGAUUACUUUAAUGGCCACUGCUACUACAGCUGCUAUUACCUUAUCCCAAAGUGUUCAAACAGCUCAUUUUGUAUAUAAUUUAUCCAUAAAUGUUUCCAUGGCAUUGCAUACCCAGGAAGAUACAGAUGAUAUGAUGUAACAGAAAUUAGAUGCCUUACUUGUGGUUAAUUUCUUGGGGAAAGAAAUUCAGGGGUUUAAAAUACAAAUUAUAUUUAGAUGUCAUGUUAGUUAUCAAUGGAUCUGCAUUAUGCCAAAAAUGUUUAAUGAUACUAUAUAUAGUUGGGAGAGUGUGCAAUCCCACUUGCAAGGUGUGGAAUCAUGCCAAUGUAUCUUUGGGCUUAUUAAAGUUACACCAAGUAGUUAUUAAUUUAAAAAAACAGAGCCUCUACAUUUUGAUGCAUCUCAAACAGCUAGAGAUCUGCUAGGACAGUUGCAGGGUUGGUUUCCUUCUUGGCCUGCACUCCUACAACACAGCAUCGCUGUUGCUGUCAGACUUGGUAUAGUAUUGCUCCUCUAGUUACUGCUGCCAAGUGUCCUUUGGUAUACGUUGUCACAAUUUUCACAUCUGAAGAGCCAGAUACAUGGCCUCCAUCUUAAAACCCCCUCCUCUCCAGUUUGACUGAAUACGACCAGUGACGGGUAAGAGUGUUCUUCAGCUCCUUCAACCUAAGACAGAACAUACAUCAGUGCUGUGUAUGCUUCCACGACGGGUAAGAAGGAGCAAUGUAGACACCAACCUAAGACAGGUAUAUUCAUCUGGAGCAUCCUUUAUUAAGUAAAAUAAAAAAGAGGGGAUCUGUGGAGAGCCAGAGUCCUGCCAUGAGAGCAGUGUGUAUUGCCAAGGCUAUGAGAACGGUCUGUGUAGCCAAGGUUAGAGAGUAGUGUGUAUAGCCAAGAGGAACUCCUAUCUAUGUUUAGUCUGUAGAGAAACUUUCUCAAGAAGAGCUUUGUCUGCUGAAGUGCUUAUAAGCUGGAGCUGCAGAAAUGUACUUUGAUCCCUGAUCAGAACCUUGCCUUGACUUCAUGCUUCUCUCACCUCCUACCCUUUUCAUUUCCAGCCCC